GAUCAUGGCUCAGGAUGAACGCUAGCUACAGGCUUAACACAUGCAAGUCGAGGGGAAACGAUAGAGAAAGCUUGCUUUUUCUAGCGUCGACCGGCGCACGGGUGAGUAACGCGUAUCCAACCUGCCCACCACUUGGGGAUAACCUUGCGAAAGUAAGACUAAUACCCAAUGAUAUCUCUUGAAGACAUCUGAAAGGGNUUAAGAUUUAAUCGGUGAUGGAUGGGGAUGCGUCUGAUUAG
rnacentral:rRNA from 1 species